GUCUAUUGGUCGCCAGCUGCCUGUGGCCCCGCCCCCUCGUGAAGGCCGCGCCCCGCCCAGGGCCUGGUGGUGGGCUCUGGAGGUGGUUGUGUAUUUCGCCGCCCUCGCCUGGCCUUCCUGCCUUACACCCUCAGGCUCUUCAGGCCGCAACUGUGUAGCACGCUGUGCUCACCUUCCUCCAACAGAGCUGCACCCCUCCUGAGAGCAAACUGAUGGGGUUGGAGAGAUGGCUCAACACUGACUACUCUUCCAGAGAACCUGGGUUCAAUUCCCAGCACCCACAUGAAAGCUACCAACUGUCUGUAACUCCAAGAUCUGACGCUCUCACACAGGCAUACAUCAAGCUGAUAAGCAGUGUAUGGGAACUGUGUCCUCGAGCCACACUGGACUACACUGGACUCCGCUACUUAGAGCUACUUAGAUGCCAUCCAUGGUGGUGUGCGAAGCACAUAUAGAUGUGUGAGCAAGCAUUAGUAGUCACUGCUGUGAGCUCAGCAGAAGAACUGAGCUGCUGUAGGCACUCAGUAAAUAUUUCUUCACUGGCUGAGCCAUCUUGUCAACCCUCAGUAAACAUCUCUCCAAGAAUAAAUGAAUGUGCUGGUCGGUGGGGGUGCA
rnacentral:lncRNA from 1 species